CGGCGCCUACCAUGCAAGUCGAGCGAGACCUUCGGGUCUAGCGGCGGACGAGUUAGUAACCGUGGGAACGUACCUUUUGCUUCGGAAUAGCCUCGGGAAACUGGGAGUAAUACCGAAUGUGCCCUUUGGGGGAAAGAUUUAUCGGCAAAAGAUCGGCCCGCGUCUGAUUAGAUAGUUGGUGGGGUAAUGGCCUACCAAGUCUGCGAUCAGUAGCUGGUUUGAGAGGAUGAUCAGCAACACUGGGACUGAGACACGGCCCAGACUCCUACGGGAGGCAGCAGUGGGGAAUCUUAGACAAUGGGCGCAAGCCUGAUCUAGCGAUGCCGCGUGAGUGACGAAGGCCUUAGGGUCGUAAAGCUCUUUCGCCAGGGAUGAUAAUGACAGUACCUGGUAAAGAAACCCCGGCUAACUCCGUGCCAGCAGCCGCGGUAAUACGGAGGGGGUUAGCGUUGUUCGGAAUUACUGGGCGUAAAGCGCACGUAGGCGGAUUAGAAAGUUGGGGGUGAAAUCCCAGGGCUCAACCCUGGAACUGCCUCCAAAACUACUAGUCUAGAGUUCGAGAGAGGUGAGUGGAAUUCCGAGUGUAGAGGUGAAAUUCGUAGAUAUUCGGAGG
rnacentral:rRNA from 1 species